GAAGCACAAUGAAUAGCGCGUUGGACUUCUAAUCCAAAGGUCAUGGGUUAGAAUUCCACCUGAAAUU
rnacentral:tRNA from 1 species